UACAACAUGAUCCGCAUAUUGUCCUGUGAACAUACCCGGAUGAAUCAAGGUUGUCAAUACUUCCAACUUAACUGGAUUUUGUGACACUGAAAAUUGUGAUUUCUGUAUUUGUCAUCUAGGUUCUUAAUGUCUUAAUUCCUAGAAUCAAUGGAUUAUUUGAAAAUUUUAGCUUUUUCUUUUCUUGUUUUCCAUUUCCUUUGUGUUUGUUUAUUUAUUUAUUUCAAUUUCUUUUCUUUCUUUUUCCCUGAGAUAGCAGCAAGAUUUCCUCAUUUCCCAGCGACAGGACCCAAGUUGUAUCCCAGCACCGUAACGAAUCAUAUGAACCACCCUGUUUGGAUGAUGCCAACUGAGUCCUCGUGAGCUCAAGGGAGAAGCAGAGAAGGUAGUAUACAAAAGAGGACCACGUGAGGACAGACAAGAGGUCCUGGGUCUCUUGCUGCUGCUGCAGAAUUUUCUGCUACCUGAUCUCAACAGGUCUUCGCCCUCUGCAAACAAAAUGAGCACCGUGAACCAACGAUCCAGAGCACGCAGUUUACUAAGAUGUCUUAAACUCAGAUUCUUUCUUCCAGUCUAUUGAGAAUGAUUGUUUGAACUCAGAAGUCAAGACUAUGGUGCCAAAUUGAAUUCUGGCUAACUCUGAAAUCCAGCAUUUCAGGUAGGAAGACUUUUCUCAGUUUCUCAGCAAAAUCUUCAUGACUUCACUCUGAAAUGAUUAUUUCUCAUUCUGCUUGUGAAGGACGUGGAGAAAACAGAUCCCUCGCCUAACCACAGCAGCUUUCUGUCUCCAGCUGUUUCCCUAGCAGUGCUUCAGGUCCUCUUCUGUACUGAUGCUUUUCUUCAGACUCACAGCAUCACCUGCAGCCUGCUGAGAGCUCCUCUGAAAGAAGCAGCAGUGAGAACUCACUGGUAGUAGCAUGCUCUUUCAGUUACUACACUACUACUCAGGCUCUUGUCUGACUUUUUUUUCCCCCAUAAAGAAAUGGGGAGGAGGGGGAAAGAGAUCUGGUGCAUGUGUCUAUCAACUGAACUCAGAUACCACCUGGCUCAAACACAACACAUACAAUUUCUCUGUUGCACACCACACUGCAGCUUUUUGACAGAAGUGGCUGUUAAAGUGUUUGUCUCCAAACUGAGUAACCAUAUGACCUUCUCCUGCAAUAUCAUCUAUAAGAAUGUAAAUUGUAUUUUACCAGCACACCAAAAUUUUGAAGCUAACAAACCUUCUCUGAGCAGUGUACUGUAACUUCUGUUCCAUAAUUAAACCAGUAUCCCACUCCUGGACAGGUUCACUCCGUUUUCCCUUCCUUUGAGUAAUACACCUUCAGACCAGUGCCUUGUUUUGAUCUAUUACAAUGAUAGACUGAAGAGUUCAUGUAAUACAUCAUCACAGUCAGCUGUUGCUGGACGCCAAGGAUUGAGAGACUGAGCCAGCUGUUUUUUGAUGUAUUCUGGUAAUGCAUCACUGGACUAUGGAAACUGAUAAUGUAUUACUUCAAAAAUGACACUACCCAGAAAAGAGAGUCCAGAGGUGCAGAUUCUGUAUAAUGAGCCAUUCAAAGUACUACGUAGGGCUGCAAACUCCUGGAACAAGAUGUUGGUAAUAAAUCAGCUUUCUGCAGUAUUACAUUAACAGCGCGCCUAGAUGGGUACCCACAGAUACUGUUGUGUGUAACCUGAUUUCCAGUACUUCUUUGUGAUUCUGCUUUUGUUCAGAUCAAAGAUAACCCUAGCAGCAGCAGUUCUACCUUCUCUUACAACAAAACGGUUCACAAUACAAGCAAUCCAGAACAAGGGAUAGGGCAGAUGUAUUGUCUCAAGAGAUUCAAAGAGUUGGGAUUCCUCCUCAGUUUGGAGCACUGUUAGAGCCACUCAGAUGCUGCUGUUUCAGUGGACUGAGCCCAUCUCUGUAAAUGCUCUUUCCCUUUGCCCUUGAUGGUACUAUUGUGUCCCAUAGGUGUAAAAUGGGCUGGCUGAGAGCACUGCAGUUGCGUUGACUUUUCUUGUGAAUUGACUAAAGGGGAGGAAGUCUCCUUUGGCCAUCUCUUCAUCCUCUCUCUGUUCCUCCUUCCUCUGCCAUGCAUAGAAUCAAGGCUAACAAUAACUUGUCCCCAGUUCUGAAUGUAAAUUAGAAAGAAAAUUAUUGCAACAGGUAACAUUUUAAUCAUUUGCCUGCCAAACUAUCUCCUUGAUAAAGCAGGCUUGUGUAUGAGUAAAAGUAACAUUUCCUGUGAAUUUGCUUUUAGCCUCAGGACCAUCAACCACUUCACUGCCUUGGCAUGUAUGACUGUUAAUGAAGUAAGCAUCACAUACGAGCAGAAUGAAGUCAUUAUAGUCGCACGACACCCAAGAGCUAUCUGGAACAAAUCAAAAUCUGUCAAACUCUGCUUGGGAUGAAGAUAAGAGAUUCUAAAGAGGAAAGCUGAAAAAUGAUGUUUUUUAAAGCUG